rnacentral:rRNA from 1 species
AUUGAACGCUGGCGGCAGGCCUAACACAUGCAAGUCGAACGAGUGGCGGACGGGUGAGUAAUGUCUGGGAAACUGCCUGAUGGAGGGGGAUAACUCCUGGAAACGGUCGCUAAUACCGCAUACCAUCAGAUGUGCCCAGAUGGGUUUUGCUAGUUGGUGGGGUACAGGCUCACCAAGGCGACGAUCCCUAGCUGUGCUGAGAGGAUGACCGUCCAAACUGGAUCUGAGACACGGUCCAGACUCCUACGGGAGGCAGCAGUGGGGAAUAUUGCACAAUGGGCGCAAGCCUGAUGCAGACAUGCCGCGUGUAUGAAGAAGGCCUUCGGGUUGUAAAGUACUUUCAGCGGGGAGGCGUUACCCGCAGAAGAAGCACCGGCUAACUCCGUGCCAGCAGCCGCGGUAAUUC